UAUCCUCAAGCUCAUCCUUCCUUUAAAUAGAUAUUUUCAUAUAAAUUAACAAACAUAUCUCACUUGAAAAACUCAAACUUUAUCAAGCUUUAAUGAUGAGGAAAAGUUGAUCUAAUAGUUAUGACAAUUUAAAAAUGUAUUAUACACGAGUCACAAUAAUCAAUGCCCGCUCCCGCCCAUGUUCCGCAGAGUCGGGCUUUUCAGACGGGUAUCCUCCGGCCUUCCUCUCUGAUUCCAUUGUCUCUCACUCACCUCUUCCUGCUUCAAACUCUCGUAUAAAAAACACUGCUUCAUGGAUUUCAACGAAAAGUAAUCUAAGAGGCUGAAAGAGCUGAAACAAAAGCAGAGCUGCCCUGUCUCCUGUGCUGUAGUGAUAAAUAGUAAUGGAGAAAGGAGAGAAAAGAUGGUUGGUGGACGCGUCAAAGUGGAACCCAUCUCCCAAUGACUUCUCUUUAGCUCUCUAUGUUCUUCCUCGUGAAAGGUGCUUGCUUUAUCACCAGUGGUCAAAAGGGUGAAUUCUCUUAUAAAUGCUGAACCUGGGAGGAACACAAGUGGGUUGUGAUUACAGAUGUAGAA